rnacentral:rRNA from 1 species
UACGAAGGGGGCUAGCGUUGCUCGGAAUCACUGGGCGUAAAGGGUGCGUAGGCGGGUCUUUAAGUCAGGGGUGAAAUCCUGGAGCUCAACUCCAGAACUGCCUUUGAUACUGGGGAUCUCGAGUCCGGAAGAGGUAAGUGGAACUCCGAGUGUAGAGGUGAAAUUCGUAGAUAUUCGGAAGAACACCAGUGGCGAAGGCGGCUUACUGGUCCGGUACUGACGCUGAGGUGCGAAAGCGUGGGGAGCAAACAGG